CCUACGGGUGGCAGCAGUGAGGAAUAUUGGUCAAUGGACGCAAGUCUGAACCAGCCAUGCCGCGUGCAGGAAGACGGCUCUAUGAGUUGUAAACUGCUUUUGUACGAGGGUAAACGCAGAUACGCGUAUCUGUCUGAAAGUAUCGUACGAAUAAGGAUCGGCUAACUCCGUUCCAGCAGCCGCGGUAAUACGGAGGAUUCAAGCGUUAUCCGGAUUUAUUGGGUUUAAAGGGUGCGUAGGCGGUCGGAUAAGUUAGAGGUGAAAUCCCGAGGCUCAACUUCGGAAUUGCCUCUGAUACUGUUCGGCUAGAGAGUAGGUGCGGUAGGCAGAAUGUAUGGUGUAGCGGUGAAAUGCUUAGAGAUCAUACAGAACACCGAUUGCGAAGGCAGCUUACUAAGCUACUUCUGACGUUGAGGCACGAAAGCGUGGGGAGUAAACAGGAUUAGAUACCCGGGUAGUC
rnacentral:rRNA from 1 species